rnacentral:tRNA from 1 species
GGGCAAUUAACUCAGCUGGGAGAGUGUCAUCUUGACGUGGUGAAAGUCACAGGUUCGAGCCCUGUAUUGCCCACCA